GGCCGGGUAGUUCAAUGGUAGAAUGCUAGUUUCCGGUACUAGUGGUUGCGUGUUCGAGUCACGCCUCGGUCG